rnacentral:rRNA from 1 species
UACGGAGGGGGCAAGCGUUGUUCGGAAUCACUGGGCGUAAAGGGUGCGUAGGCGGGUUUUUAAGUCAGAGGUGAAAUCCUGGAGCUCAACUCCAGAACUGCCUUUGAUACUGAAAGUCUUGAGUAUGGGAGAGGUGAGUGGAACUGCGAGUGUAGAGGUGAAAUUCGUAGAUAUUCGCAAGAACACCAGUGGCGAAGGCGGCUCACUGGCCCAUAACUGACGCUGAGGCACGAAAGCGUGGGGAGCAAACAGG